GGUGGGGCUCAGUGGUAGAGCACGUGCUUAGCAUGUAUGCUUAGCAUGCACGAGGUCCUGGGUUCAAUCCCCAGUCCCUCCA
rnacentral:tRNA from 1 species